GUUUAGCCCCGAUAGCAAUGGAAAUCCUUUUGUUUUUUGUUUCGUGGGGUUGUUUGUUCCAUAAGGGCUGUUUUUGUGCAUGGGCCUCUAAUAGAAAUGGGCAAAAAACAAAAGAUUGCAAUGGAUAGCGGGACAAGUG
rnacentral:sRNA from 1 species